GAUGAACGCUGACAGAAUGCUUAACACAUGCAAGUCAACUUGAAUUUGGGUUUUUAACUUAGGUUUGGGUGGCGGACGGGUGAGUAACGCGUAAAGAACUUGCCUCACAGCUAGGGACAACAUUUGGAAGCGAAUGCUAAUACCUAAUAUUAUGAUAAUAGGGCAUCCUAUAAUUAUGAAAGCUAUAAGCGCUGUGAGAGAGCUUUGCGUCCCAUUAGCUAGUUGGAGAGGUAACGGCUCACCAAGGCGAUGAUGGGUAGCCGGCCUGAGAGGGUGAUCGGCCACAAGGGGACUGAGACACGGCCCUUACUCCUACGGGAGGCAGCAGUGGGGAAUAUUGGACAAUGGACCAAGAGUCUGAUCCAGCAAUUCUGUGUGCACGAUGAAGUUUUUCGGAAUGUAAAGUGCUUUCAGUUGGGAAGAAAGAAAUGACGGUACCAACAGAAGAAGUGACGGCUAAAUACGUG
rnacentral:rRNA from 1 species